UCCCACUCCCUCCCUCCCUCCCUCGCUCCCCGGGCCGCGCGCGACGCGUCGCGAUCAGUCUAGCGACACCUCGGAUGUCAAUCCGACCGUCUCCUCUCGCCUGUCAGUCCGUCAAAGAUCGGGACGCCUGCGUGCCAAAGGGCCCACCGUGUGUUCCCCGCGUCCUCCUACGAUCUCGAUUGUCUCUCGCCGUGUAUCUCUGUCUCGCGCACGUUUCCUCUCUCUCUCGCUCGCUCGCCGCGGAGACGGGAGGACGCACAGACGGAAGAAGGCUCCUGCCGCUGCUGCUGCUGCUGAUGAUGCUGAUGGUGCUGCUGCCGCAACUGGUGUUGAUAAUGCAGGGAGCAGCGGUGCCGCGCCGCGCUACGAACCCGGCGACCCAAGUUCGAUUCCCGCUCACGGCCAACUCCAGUGACGAUUAUCUGACAACCACCUACGACCGCCUUUGUCUUCCCAGAUGUAUUGACAGAUGCAUUGACAGGCGACGCCAGCUGCUUCAACUUGCGUGCAAGGGCGAGUCGAGCUUCGGGGAGAAACGGCACGGGAUCAGACGCCACGUGGACUCGUGUUCCGUUCCGAACGAUGAUGUGAAUCCGAGUCGGAAAACGAAACAUAUCCGUGUAGAUAGAAUUGACGUGAGUUGGAGGAGACGCUGUGACUGAGUGAAAUGCCGGUGGCCACGAGAUGCUGCGAGCGAACGAACGAGCGAACAGGAGACGCCUCCUCCUCCUCUUGUCCACGUGCGGGGAGACCCGCAUCAGCCGACAACACCCGCGACGGACCGGUGGCCGCCACAUCCAAGGACCAUUCAGCUUCGACCGCAGCUUUCGCUUCCGAGAUCUGCCGCUGUCGAGAACCAUUCCGAGUUGAGCUGAUCACGGGGCUCUGGAGAAGACUGCGCGGGGCCGUGGGUUUGCGUCAGCGAUGGGAGCCUUUUGACGUGCUGUGAAGAAGGUCCAUCGUCCGAAACGUCGCCUGCGAUAUAUUUGCUCUCCCUUUUGUAAGGCCACGUUGUUGUUGUUUUUGUUUUUGACGAACGUGUUUAUUUAGCACGCUUUUAUUUAUUUAUUGUUUUGUGCAUCACCGCCAUCGCGGCAGCGUCGCCAAAUCAUUCGUUUGACUUCCCAACAGCUGUGUAAUGUCACGAUGCAUAAUCGAUUCAUCAAUUAAACCGAUUAUCAUCAAGGCUGUCGAAUCGCGCGCGCGUGACUCUUCGGCGCGUAUAGCGCGUGCACGCGUCAAGCUGACUGACGGAUGAUGCGAUUCUGCCGGUGAGGAAACUAAACACCGCCCAGGGGGCAAAACAAUAUACAAAAUGAGACGAGGAACAACAACAAACAAACACCCCCCACCCUCCCCCAAUAACACGGAUCCGCCUCGCGCCACAAGUCAUCAAUGCUGGGGUCACGCAGUAGGGACGCGAACGCACUUUAUCGCGUCUUGUGCCCGGUGACAAUACAGUUAAACAAAUCCUGCUGGUGACGAUCGCUUGUGUUGUGAUCGAAACGUCGUAGUUUGUGGGUAUUUUUUACGUGACUUUACCGAAAGACCCAAAGAAUAUCUUGAUUUGGAGCUUUCGUGACUGCAGGAAUCCAUCGAAUAAUUAUACAAAUCUCAUCGCAUGCGCGCACACACACAACUAUCGGAUUAUAAACACACCCCCUAAACCUUUGCUUGAAGGUACGGGGAGGGGGGGGGGUCUUAUAGUCCGGGAUGAUGCGAAAUGAAAUAUGAUUUCGAUUUAAAGCUUUCGUGACUGCAGGAAUUCAUCUUCUUGGUUCUUUCGGUAAAGUCACGUAGAAUGGAAAUAAUAAAAUAAUAAAAAAUAAAACAUAAUAAAAUAAUUCUCACGACGUUUCGGCCACAACGCAAGCAGCCGUCCUCAGGUGAAGAACAUGUCUGUCUCCCAACAGACUUAUUUAUUAUGUUUUAUUUUUAUCAUUUUAUUAUUUCCAUUCUACGUGACUUUACCGAAAGAUCCAAGAAGAUGAAAUAUAAUCAUUAUUAUUACAAUAAUAUAACUGACAGCCCGUUGCCAAACCGCUAUUGAAAUUUGACAACAACAAAAAAAUCCAACGAUGACCGUUGGGAAAUUGUCAAAUCUGAUCUCCACGAAGCGUGACCCGGAGGUGGAAUGGUUCCCUUCAUGGGCGGGGGUCAACGUGGAGGUCUCCCACUGCCUUUGGCCGCGUGCUCAAUGCGUAGCCAAGUAGCCAGUGCACACACGUCAACGUUGGGCGCACGUUGGCACGCGGUUAGGAACCCGUCGAUCUAACGUUGGCUCGACGUUUGCCCCACGUUGGCCCAAAGUUUCCACGUGUUACGAGCUAAUUCUUGCCGCCGUAGAGUGUGACGCUAAAGCUGAUAGAGAGCAAGUCUAAGCCCGCUGAAGGGAUCAGUUGUAUGUGUAAUGUUCUGUGUCUAUGUAUAUAUAUAUAUAUAUGCGUGUUUGUGUCCAAUAGUGGUCGUUAGGCCUAUUAAAUGGGCGUGUGUAUAUAGGGCGCAUCGCUAAAACGGGCUUAUGGUCGAGACUGGCGACGGAAUGGCAGCCGGAGGAGGGAGCGAACGCGUUCGAGAGGACGAGAGGAUGCGCGGAGAUGGCGUGGCGGAUGAGAUGGACUCGCGUGUGCG